UACAGAGGGGGCAAGCGUUGUUCGGAAUUACUGGGCGUAAAGGGCGCGUAGGCGGCCGCCUAAGUCAGACGUGAAAUCCCUCGGCUCAACCGGGGAACUGCGUCUGAUACUGGGUGGCUUGAAUCCGGGAGAGGGAUGCGGAAUUCCAGGUGUAGCGGUGAAAUGCGUAGAUAUCUGGAGGAACACCGGUGGCGAAGGCGGCAUCCUGGACCGAUAUUGACGCUGAGGCGCGAAAGCCAGGGGAGCAAACGGG
rnacentral:rRNA from 1 species